CAGUCGCCGCGGGAAUACAGAGGGUGCGAGCGUUAAUCGGAUUUACUGGGCGUAAAGAGUGCGUAGGCGGCUUCUUAAGUCGGAUGUGAAAUCCCUGAGCUUAACUUAGGAAUUGCAUUCGAUACUGGGAAGCUAGAGUAUGGGAGAGGAUGGUAGAAUUCCAGGUGUAGCGGUGAAAUGCGUAGAGAUCUGGAGGAAUACCGAUGGCGAAGGCAGACAUCUGGCCUAAUACUGACGCUGAGGUACGAAAGCAUGGGGAGCAAACAGGAUUAGAUACCCCUGUAGUCCCUGUCUCUUAUAC
rnacentral:rRNA from 1 species